GAGCCGGUACAGGACAGGUCGUCUGAUGGCUCUCAGUCGUCGUGGAUACACUGCCGGACCAGGGGAUCGGUCUGAUGACGACUCCUUCCCUCCUCAAUUUUCUCUCCACAAUCUUAACCAUCCGAGCUCCGUAGAAACUGUCGCCACAGAUCCCUGGAUGCGGCCAGGAACAUCGGACACACUGAAAUGUUCGGACCGUCCAUCGAGGAGGGAGUGGUUGGCAACAUAGGACCGACCCUGUUGCUCAAACCUGAGAGGUUCCUCGUACUUUUGGAAGUCAGUUGUACCACAGACUUCCCUGUCUUUGAAUUAUGAGACUAGGACGGGUUUUAACUCGUGGCUUUUGUGACAAAUGGAUGCCAGUAUGAAUGACAAAUGAUACCUGUUAUGUACUUUUAUUUGACCAAUGACUAAAUUAUGUUUUAAAUAAAUGUAUAAUUAUAAACUGUAGGGUGAUACUUUGCAUCCUUUGACAAGCCAUCACAGCCUCAACUCUACAAAAGUUUAACGUGAUGUUUUCCAACACAUUACUUUUAUAAUAUUUAAGAUCAUACAUAGUUUGAUGAUCUCUGCGAUAUCUUUCUGGUCAGCAGCCAAAUUAGCUUAGCUUAGCUUAGACUGGAAAUUGGGGAGGGACUGUUAGCCUGUCUCUUUCAAAGGUAACAAAAUCAGCCUACCAGCACCUCUAAAGCCGACUAAUUUACAUGUCAUCACUGUUUUACAUGUUUAUGUCACUUUUGUUUUAGUCCAUACACAAAUGUCAGGCUGUGGUUGGUGACUAUGUGCUGGACUGUUUCUUCGCUAGACACAGUGACUUCCUGUCAAGAUAUAGUAAAUUGUAUAUUUUCCAAAAUGUCCAACUAUUCCUCUAACUCAUUAAUGACUAAAAAUUAUAUUUAGUAUGUUGAGGAGAAGCCCCAUUGAUUUGAUUUUAAUUAAUGAAUUUUCCUUAAGAGGUGGAGACACAGAAUUUGCUGUGGAAACUGUCGACAUUUUGCUACAUGGCAAAAUCAACAUUUUCGACAACACACAUUUAUCAUGCCUUAAUUGGUAGACAAAUUAGAUUUUCUCUCGGGUAGGUUCUCUGAAUUUUCUCGAAUUCAGCGGCGAAGGGUGCUUUGGCAAAGUUGCUAAAGGUGUGAAUUUAAUCACAGCACAGGACGUGGCCCUCAAGAUCUUGAAAACCGAAGAAACCGCUAAAAGAGAGAUCAAAAUGCUUGAAGCAGU